GUGCCUGUAGCUCAGAAGGAUAGAGCAACGGAUUUCUAAUCCGUCGGUCGGGGGUUCGAUUCCCUCCAGGCGCGCCA
rnacentral:tRNA from 1 species